CCUACGGGGGGCUGCAGUGGGGAAUAUUGCACAAUGGGCGCAAGCCUGAUGCAGCCAUGCCGCGUGUGUGAAGAAGGCCUUCGGGUUGUAAAGCACUUUCAGCGGGGAGGAAGGCGUUAAGGUUAAUGACCUUGUCGAUUGACGUUACCCGCAGAAGAAGCACCGGCUAACUCCGUGCCAGCAGCCGCGGUAAUACGGAGGGUGCAAGCGUUAAUCGGAAUUACUGGGCGUAAAGCGCACGCAGGCGGUCUGUCAAGUCGGAUGUGAAAUCCCCGGGCUCAACCUGGGAACUGCAUUCGAAACUGGCAGGCUAGAGUCUUGUAGAGGGGGGUAGAAUUCCAGGUGUAGCGGUGAAAUGCGUAGAGAUCUGGAGGAAUACCGGUGGCGAAGGCGGCCCCCUGGACAAAGACUGACGCUCAGGUGCGAAAGCGUGGGGAGCAAACAGGAUUAGAUACCCUUGUAGUC
rnacentral:rRNA from 1 species